rnacentral:rRNA from 1 species
GUGAGGUAGACAUAGUGUGUGGAGUUGUGUGUGAAGCGUGCACAACCAGUGUAUUGUCCACGCUUUUAGUGCUAAUUAAGCGACUGGCCUCCGGUGUCUCCCUUCGGGGUUAGUGCCGGUCGGUCUAUUGCGUGGCCUGUUCCGAGGACAGUCAGGGAGUUUGACUCGGUACGUCUGUCAAACGGUAACGCAGGUGUCCUAAGUCGAGCUCAGCGAAGACAGAAACAUCGCGUAGAGCGAAAGGAUGCUUGCUUGAUCUUGAAUUUCAGUACGAUUCGAGACCGCGAAAGCGGGGUUCCUCAGUCCUUUUGCUUUUAAGAGUUAUAAAGGGGAUUGGUUAUCGCUUAAAGAACUUUUUUUUAGAUUGUGGUAAAAAUGAGAAGAUCGUGCGUCACAUUUACGGGAACGAGAUGCCUUCACCCCACAAAAAAAAAAAAAAAAAAAAGCAGUUACGUUUUUAUUUUGCUCUGCGAGUGAUGCGAAAAACGUCACCCAACAGCGUGUUUGUCAAUUUCCCAGUGUAACAGAACAAACCCACGCAGGUAUACAUAAUCUGCCGAAAAACAAUCAUCUGAAGUGUACGUCACCCUAUAAGAAGCCUUUUUAUAGCGUACGUGCAAGAGCAAUGCGUUUUUCAUUUCGUUCUUUUCGGGGUGGCGCGCUGCCCUCGGAUUCGUCUGCCUGUACUGGCGCGUUGUCCUGCACUUUAAAUCUCUUGAUGUACUGCGCUUGGCACGCGAGCGGUGCUGCCUUGUUUUCACGAUGUCCGAGGAUCCGAGGCGCGCCCCAGCCCGUUGACUUUCCCUCGCCUCUCUGCCUCGUCAAACAUGGAUGUCCUCCUUGGAACCGGUUCCUGUUGGGAAGACCGACCGCGCCCGAAAGCGUUGCUCGGGGAGACGACGACGAAUUGCGCCCAGUAUUAUAACCAUUAAUUGUGGUCCGCGUCUUUACACGUAGAAAGGAGCCACUUCGUGGAUGAAAAAACUUCUGUUUUAACAAUUCCUACUCAGUUGCUAGAGAAACUGCAAGCUGGGACACUUCGAAAGGUACUGAGACCAAAAAAAAAAAAAAAAAAAAAGAACGGCAGAGCGAUCAAGGACGUACGGUAUACAGACCCUUUCAGAAAAAUUACCACGUGGAUAACUGGCUUGUGACGGCCAAGCGUUCAUGGCGACGUCACUUUUUGAACUUGCGAUUUCGUGUCUUCCUAUCAAUGCGAAGCAGAAUUCGCCAAGCGUUGAAUUGCUCACCCACUAAUAGGGAACGUGAGCUGGGUGUACUAGGCAGCUGUGGGACAGGUUAGUUUUACCCUAC